rnacentral:rRNA from 1 species
CCCUUAGACGUUCUGGGCCGCACGCGCGCUACACUGACCAGUGCAACAAGCAUCCGUCCUUGGCCGACAGGCCCGGGCAAUCUUUGAACGCUGGUCGUGAUGGGGAUAGACUUUUGCAAUUUUUGGUCUUCAACGAGGAAUACCUAGUAAACGCAAGUCAUCAACUUGCAUUGAUUACGUCCCUGCCCUUUGUACACACCGCCCGUCGCACCUACCGAUUGAAUGGUCCGGUGAAGCCUCCGGAUUGGCGCGCACCUCGGUGCCGCCGAGAAGUUGGCUAAACCUUACCAUUUAGAGGAAGGUGAAGUCGUANCA